rnacentral:rRNA from 1 species
UAGGGAAUCUUCCACAAUGGGCGAAAGCUUGACGGAGCAACGCCGCGUGAGUGAUGAAGGUCUUCGGAUCGUAAAACUCUGUUAUUAGGGAAGAACAAAUGUGUAAGUAACUAUGCACGUCUUGACGGUACCUAAUCAGAAAGCCACGGCUAACUACGUGCCAGCAGCCGCGGUAAUACGUAGGUGGCAAGCGUUAUCCGGAAUUAUUGGGCGUAAAGCGCGCGUAGGCGGUUUUUUAAGUCUGAUGUGAAAGCCCACGGCUCAACCGUGGAGGGUCAUUGGAAACUGGAAAACUUGAGUGCAGAAGAGGAAAGUGGAAUUCCAUGUGUAGCGGUGAAAUGCGCAGAGAUAUGGAGGAACACCAGUGGCGAAGGCGACUUUCUGGUCUGUAACUGACGCUGAUGUGCGAAAGCGUGGGGAUCAAACAGG